UUUUAUACUAUCCCUCUAGCUUGAUACUUUAUUCUUUCUUAGAGAAAAGCAGAGAUGUUCUUACCAAGACCAAAGAAAGUGAUAGAGGAGAUUCUCCCUCCACACUCGGCGUCCCGGUUCUGACCCAUUGUUUUGAGGGCAUCCCCAUCAACCCGCCUAUCCUCACGACAGUGGAAGUUGCACUCUAAAGCUUCUGUUAUUUGAGCUGGUGCCUCUGAGGGUCGCAUCUCUCAGCUGUCAGGCGGUUACCUGAAAGAGGCCUCAUUUUAAGUGAACCAGAAGCCCCUUCCUCAAUUUAACUUUCCUUGACUAGAUCAUAUUAAAGGAAAAGAGCUAA